UACGUAGGGUGCAAGCGUUAAUCAGAAUUACUGGGCGUAAAGCGUGCGCAGGCGGUUUUGUAAGUCUGUCGUGAAAGCCCCGGGCUCAACCUGGGAAUUGCGAUGGAGACUGCAAGGCUUGAAUCUGGCAGAGGGGGGUAGAAUUCCACGUGUAGCAGUGAAAUGCGUAGAGAUGUGGAGGAACACCGAUGGCGAAGGCAGCCCCCUGGGUCAAGAUUGACGCUCAUGCACGAAAGCGUGGGGAGCAAACAGG
rnacentral:rRNA from 1 species